ensembl:lncRNA
GUGUGGUACAUGCAUGUUUAUGCCAGAGACUGACAAUAGAAGCUUUCACCAAUUCUAUCUUAUUUUUUGCCAGGCUCUUAGUGAAUCUGGAGCUUUCUGUUUUGGCAGACUGGCUGGCCAUCGAACUCCUGGGAUCUGUUGUCUUUCAAACCCCCAAGUGUUGGGGUUUAUAGAUGGGUACAACAUGUGAUUUUUGAGAUUGCUGGGCAGAUGAAUUCAGUUCCUCAUGCUUGUUCACCAAGCACUUCACUCAUUGACCCACCUCCCCAGCUUCUCUAGUGAUCCUCAAAGUAAAAGUUUUGUAUGUUCACCAGCUUAAAAGUUUUGUAUGUUCACCAGCCAUGUGAACCUACUAAUCAUGUCUAGUGGCACUAGUGCAAUAUAACAACAAAAGAUGCAAAGUUUUAGUAAGAUUAAAAAAAAUGUUAUUUAUUUUUUUGUUUUUUUGAGACAGGGUUUCUCUGUGUAGCUUUGGAGCCUAUCCUGGCACUCGCUCUGGAAACCAGGCUGGCCUCGAACUCACAGAGAUCCGACUGCCUCUGCCUCCCGAGGGCUGGGAUUAAAGGUUUGUGCCACCAACACCUGGCAUGUUGUUCUUUUUAAUAAUGUAUAUUGAUUAUAUGGCUAGUGAUUUUGUAUACUUGAUUAAAAAACUAGUUUCUAGGUGUUCUUUCCCUGUUUCUCCUUCUCAGAAUGCACAUUCUUAGUUUGUUUUUGUUCCCAGUGAUUUAGCGGGAGUAACUUUCUCAAGUUGGACAUGUUGAUUUCAAAUUACAGGCACUUAUCACCACCACAUUCAUCACUUUAACCAGCAAAUUGUGUACCUACAAAUUUUCUGAAACUUAAUUAUAGCACAUUCCUAGGAUGAAAUCUCAUGCAUCCUGUCUGUAUCUCAGUUUAUUCAUCUUAAAAGGAGAUAGAAAUAAAGAGUUAAAUGAAGUAAAGCACUUAGAAUGGUGUCUGUCACAUUCAAGGAGUCAAUAAAUUUUGUUAGGAUUAGCAUAUAUGAAUAAAGCUCAGGAACAGUUUGCACUAAAAAAAGCCAGUUGCAUUUAUGAGUAUUUACACAAUGGAUGAUUAAAACACGAAAGCCAGUGGAUACAUUCAUUCAUUCACUCACUCAUACUCGUGUGGAUAUACGUAAAAAUCUGGGUAGUAAAAAUGAAGUGCAUUCUACCAGUCAGGUUACUUGUGACAGGGGAAGAUAGUAAGUAACUCGAAAGGCAUCCAAGAGGCUUUGGAAUGUUCGAGUUUUCUGCGAAAAUGGGAGAAUGUUCCAUCUUCGCAGACGAUGCUGUCGUGCGGGGGACGUUCUUUGAAUUUUGAAUAAGUUGAUAUAAAACUAACCGCAAGGAAAAUAAAACACGGACACAGGAUCGCCGGUGAACAUGCAAGAAGAGAGACCAGAUGACGGAGGUGUGCACUCCACACACAGCUACAAUGUGUGUGACACAAGUUAAGCAAAGGGAAGAAAAGUGAAGAAUCGGAUGAAGUCUCCCAGUGAGAAGUCAGUCUGAGGUAGACCUCUUCCGGAUACACUUCACCGAUAUAUACGGGAUAGGUGUCUUCAGUUUUGCACAAUUACCCGGCAACAAUAAGUUUCGAAUUUUGGAGAGGUGCGUCCUAAGCCCCAGCUGAUGAGGCAUUCGUUCUGAGAUAACCUUACACCAAGUGCGUGGCUUAGCCGGGACCCCAGGUCCUUUUGCACAGUCUGCGUUCUCCUCUGCUUAGAAGAGUUGUUAUGCGGGUUUGUGAAGUAGACCCGGGAAGCUGGAGCAUCUCCAAGCCGAUGAGGCCUAAAUUUACCCCACCUUUCUCUCCCCAGGUCCCAGACGCCCACCGCGUCCUGGGAGUCUGGUCCAGAUGGCUCUCAAACCCUUGACUUCCCCGGCGCCCGAGCGGGCCCUCCGUGACUCUCAGACGUCUCCUCCGCUCGGAUUCCCCCGUCAGGCAGCAGGAGCAGAGACCACAUUCUCAGCGGGCCUUGUCUUUCUCACCCCAUGCCCAGCGGCUGUACACUCGGGGCCAUCAGCUCCGACCGGAAAGUUGAACGCCCGCCACAGAGCGGCUCCUUGACGUCACUUCCGG